rnacentral:rRNA from 1 species
GAUGAACGCUGGCGGCGUGCCUAAUACAUGCAAGUCGAGCGAACAGACGAGGAGCUUGCUCCUCUGACGUUAGCGGCGGACGGGUGAGUAACACGUGGAUAACCUACCUAUAAGACUGGGAUAACUUCGGGAAACCGGAGCUAAUACCGGAUAAUAUAUUGAACCGCAUGGUUCAAUAGUGAAAGACGGUUUUGCUGUCACUUAUAGAUGGAUCCGCGCCGCAUUAGCUAGUUGGUAAGGUAACGGCUUACCAAGGCAACGAUGCGUAGCCGACCUGAGAGGGUGAUCGGCCACACGGGAGCUGAGACACGGUCCAGGCUCCUACGGGAGGCAGCAGUAGGGAAUCUGCCGCAAUGGGCGAAAACCUGACGGAGCAACGCCGCGUGAGUGAUGAAGGUCUUCGGAUCGUAAAACUCUGUUAUGAGGGAAGAACAAAUGUGUAAGUAACUAUGCACGUCUUGACGGUACCUAAUCAGAAAGCCACGGCUAACUACGUG